UACAGAGGCCUCGAGCGUUGUUCGGAAUUACUGGGCGUAAAGGGAAUGUAGGUGGUGACGUAAGUCAGAUGUGAAAGCCCUGGGCUUAACCCGGGAAGUGCAUUUGAUACUGCGUUGCUGGAGUACGAGAGAGGAAAGCGGAGUUCCCAGUGUAGGAGUGAAAUCCGUAGAUAUUGGGAGGAAUACCGAUGGCGAAGGCAGCUUUCUGGCUCGUAACUGACACUGAGAUUCGAAAGCGUGGGUAGCAAACAGG
rnacentral:rRNA from 1 species